UUUGGGUUUAUAUGAAGAUCUAAUUGUAUGUGGAUGAUAUUUGAAUGUGUGAAUAAAAUCUGUUUUCAAUUCGUUUUGUUGUGACAGAUGCAAAGAGAUUGAUUGCUCAGAGAUUUAUUGACACCUCUGUCCAAAGUGACAUGAAGCUAUGGCCUUUCAAGAUCUUACAUGCUCCUGCCGAUAAACCAAUGAUCGUCGUCAACUACAGAGGCGAAUAGAAACAGUUCGCCGCCGAGGAGAUCUAUUCCAUGGUUCUCAUCAAUAUACGUGAGCUCUAUUGAGAAUUACGAAUGCGGUUCGGAGCCACUUAUUCAGCUAUACAAGAUUCUACUGAAUGCACCUGGUGUAUAUGGAGCACUGUUCAGUGGUGCAGGCUUCAGGGGAUGUUGUGUAGCCUUUGUGGAUGCAGAGAAAGCUGAGGAAGCUACUUGAUAUGUGAAGGAUGAAUACGAAAAGGCCCAACCCAAGUUUGCGAAGAAACUGAGUGGAGGUAAACCUGUUCUCAUCUGUGAAGCAGGUGACUCUGCUCGCGUUCUCUGUUCAAACUCGAAGUUUUGUUCCUUCGAGUGCUCUGUUAUAGUUGUUGAUUCUUAUUUGUUCAUCCUUUUUUUUAUUCUCUCUCUGUGAGAUUCUCUGGUCUGUUUAGUCAAGAGAUAGAAAUGGAGCAUGCAUUGAUACGUUUUUAUUGUUACCAACAAUUUGACAAUACGUAAUGUAAAUCAUUUAUCUUUCUGUUU